CUCCCCUCCCAGAGCCGGGGAGAGAACCCAGGAGUCCAGCUCCUCUCCUGCUCUAACCACUAGUCCCCACUCCCCUCCCGGAGCUGGACAUGCAAGGAGCCCAGCCCUUUCCACCUUCAGAAUGAAGUCCCAGCUCCAGCUUUUUGUCCUGCUUUCCACGCUAACAGUGAUCAGCGGGCAAGGCCAGGAACAUGUCCAUUGGUUGGACAAGAUAGUUAAUAGGGCUCAACAACCCCUUAGUGGAAAAGCCCUAGAGAAUGGAAUAGAAAAUUAUCACCUACCUUUGUUUUUAAUCCGUCCUAUAAAACGUAAUUGAGGAUUAAAACCCUGCAGUGGGAUGGCCUGCCAACCCAACUCAUCCACAGUGGUCGUGAGAACGCAAAGACUCGACUGGCCCUGGCAGCCGGGCACCAGCCUCCAUGACCACCAAGACAUUUGAAGGCCAGCGAGCCAGGGCUGAGGGGCAGCUGGCUGCAGCUUGAUCCAAAUGGCUGUGGGGAUGGGAGAGAUACAUGCCGAGAUGCUGCCAGCCCUGAGGUGGUGGGGAAGCGGGGUACGCUGCAAGGUCAAGGUCCUUCCCUGGGCACCGAGCUCCCUGCUGCUUCCUAAGCUGGUGAUCGUUUCAGAGCAAGGUCACUGUUGGCUUAGCUCAGCUCUAAUCAGGGCUCAUAAUCGCUCAGCUGCCGCGGACUUAACAGCGUUGCAGAUGGUCGGACCAAGAUCUCGCGUAGCAGACAGGAGCGGGUAUCUCAGAUGUGCAGCACAGCUCCCUCCCUGCAGGCUGCGGCCCUGGCUUCGCCUAGGGAGACGUGGGUUCUCUCCUACUCCCCACAUUCCCCAGCCAGUCAGAGGGCCCCUUACUACCAGCCCCUCGGCGGUACUGGAGACAAAGCACGCACUUAAAACCCACACGACAACAGCCAGGGCUCUGCAGGGCAGGCAAUGCUGGGAGAUGCCCUGCAGCCAACGGCUCUGCCCCCCACCCCGGCUUCUUGGAGCAGGGCCAAGGCUGUGCCCAUGCUGCAAUGG